ensembl:lncRNA SNHG28 small nucleolar RNA host gene 28
ACAGAGAGGACGCCGUGGCGCCCGGGUGCAAGGCCAGCGGGCGCGGCAGCCGCGUCACCCACCUCCUGGGGUACCCGACGCAGAACGUCAGCCGCUCCCUGCGCCGCAAGUACGCGCCUCCCCCCUGCGGCGGCCCCGAGGACGUGGCCCUGGCGCCCUGCACCGCCGCCGCCGCCUGCGAAGCGGGCCCCUCCCCGGUCUACGUCAAGGUCAAGAGCGCGGAGCCGGCUGACUGCGCCGAGGGGCCGGUGCAGUGCAAGAACGGCCUCUUGGUGAGAACAGAUGCAAAAACUAUUGCUCAAGGAAAAUAAAGUGAAAACGAGGAAAAGCAAAAGAAGAUCUGGAGAGGGCUCUCACCUGACCACAAGCAUCCUGGAGCAAUGAGUUUCAGGCAGGAAGACUCAUCCUGAGCUGAGCUGCUUUUCUUGAAGUUGUGCAAGAACGUCCUGUUGGCUGGGGCAAAUUCAGUAUUUCUUUUCCUGGCCACUGUGCUGGAGCGUGAGGAAAGACUCUCCACCCUCACUCCCAGAUCCUGCAGGAGGCGUGAGAGCGGAUGGAGAUGGUGAGGAUGUCUAUUAAUAUGGUGUUUCCUGCAAAACGGUGCCCAUCUCAACCAUGGGUUGUCAACCAUCCUCGGUGUCUACAACUGCAAUUUACCUUUGAGGGCCCAUGAACUCUGAUUACCUGAAAGUCCUUAGGCCAGAAAGAGAAACCCCUGUCCCCCACCUCUCACUUUCACCUAUUUCUAGACCUUUUCUUACAGCAAUGCCUUGGCCCUCAGGAAGCAUCAGAUCUCAAACUGCAGGGUCUGGGGCUGAAGCUGAUGCUGGCAUGGGUGACUCAGAGUUCCUCUAUUAGUUCAAAUAUGUAAUAUCUUUUAGAGCCUAGGACUCAGGCUGGAGGCAAUUCCUUGGUGCCAGUUGGUUAAUACUUUAUGAAUAGUGGUGGGGGAGGGAAUGCCUUGGACUAUUAAUGUCCCCAUGGAUCUGGAUCCUGGAGAACUUCCAGUGUCCUGGAUGGAAUGUUCUGCUUGGCUCAUCUUGCCCAGAGAAGAGCCAGGAUAUGAGAAGAUGGGAGAGGGAAGGGGGAGGUGUGAAACGUGCUGGUGCUUCCUGUCCUCGUGGUGUGAUGGCUGCCCAGGCUGCUCCUUCGAGGCAGGACAGGAUUCCCAUGGGAGAUAUGAGGACCAUGGUGAUUUCCAGGCACCAGUUAUGUCCCAGAGCAUCGUGUGCCUGUGCAGUGGGGUUACUGAUAGUCCAGGCAUCAGUUCAUAUUGUCCUUUAUGGCAGAUCCUGCACAAGGGGGUUCUCUGUCUCUGGACCCACUCUGUCAGCAUGGACAUCCUUUUUCUUUUUCCCUGGUAAGGACAUCAGAAAGAAAGUUACCCCUCCAGUGUUUGGAGUCUUGGAAUCCUUGGCCUGCCUGCAGGCCUCUGAAUCCUCAGUGUGUUAGCCCAAGGUCACCUUAGGUAAAGGAACAUUUCUCCUGGUCUUCCAACACCCUGGAAAGGGAGGCUCUUCAAGAAUAGGAAAUUCUUCCUAGUAUCUAACCUUGGCCUGCAACUAUGCCAUACAUUUAAUUGUAGAAGGUAUGGAAAGUUAGGACUGUGGUGGACCCAGUUAAAUCACUGGACAGAAGCCAUGAGGCAGAGCCAGAACCAGCUUCUGGACUCCCUGCAUGGAGCUUUCUACUAUCCCAGGUUGUUGGGUCCCUUCUCAGUGGCCAAAGAUGCUAUUUUAUGAGCCUUGAGGACAUGACACUAAGUGAAAAAAGCCUGGCCAAAGGGCCACAUAGUGUAUAGUUCUAUUUAUAUGAAAUGUCCAGGAAAGACAAAAGCAUAGAGGCAGAAAGCAGACUAGUGCUGUGGGAGGAAUGGGGGAUUUGGGAGGUGAUGGCUAAGGGGUUAUGGGGUUUUGGGGGAGGUAAUAGAAAUGUUUUAAAAUUGGUUGUGAAGGUGGAUGCCCAACUCUGCGAAUACACUAAAAGGCAUCGAAUUGUAUACUUUAAAUAGGUGAAUU